rnacentral:misc_RNA from 1 species
CGGUCAUGCCCUUGAGCGAAUCAAUUAAGCUCCAGAGGGAUUUGGGGAAGGCCAUAACAGAACAUGAUAAAAAGGAAAGGAAGGAGAAGAAAGAAAGCAAAAAGGGAAGGAAAGGAAACAAGAAAGCCUUGUAUAUUGAAGGAACAUGUAACCAACUGGAGAAAAGAUUGCCUUCAAAGGGAAAAGAGGAGGAAGCUGAAAGGAGUGGUUUGACAGAAGAACAUGACCAGCCUGUCUGUUCUGAGAGCCUUAGCUAUUCAUCCGGCACUCGGAGUAGCAACGAGAGAAAAGGAGAUGACUCGGAAUAUAAAGGCACCAAAAGUCAACAAACAGGGAAUUUAAUACUACGUAUUCAGCUACCAUUGAAAAGGCUUAGGGAGACGGAUGCAUCUGUCAAUGGAGAGCAGUUGUGUUCUACUU